UCCCUCUUAGCUCAGUUGGUAGAGCGCGUCACUAGUACCUACUAGAGUAUGACGAGGUCAGUCGUUCAAGUCGGCUAGAGGGAA